UCUGAUCUAUGAUGACGUUUUUAACAAUGUAGACUGUUGGAUGAAUUUUGCGGAUAUGGGACUGAGAUCAGGU